rnacentral:rRNA from 13 species
GCUUACGGCCAUACCAGCCUGAAUACGCCCGAUCUCGUCCGAUCUCGGAAGCUAAGCAGGGUCGGGCCUGGUUAGUACUUGGAUGGGAGACCGCCUGGGAAUACCAGGUGCUUAAGCU